UACAGGGGGUGCAAGCGUUGCUCGGAAUCACUGGGCGUAAAGCGUGCGCAGGCGGAACGAUAAGUCGGGUGUGAAAUCCCGGGGCUCAACCCCGGAACGUGCAUUCGAAACUAGUCGAUCUUGAGUGCGGCAGAGGUGAGUGGAAUUCCUGGUGUAGAGGUGAAAUUCGUAGAUAUCAGGAGGAACACCAGUGGCGAAGGCGACCACCUGGACUGAUACUGACACUGAGGUGCGAAAGCGUGGGGAGCAAACAGGAUUAGAAACCCCCGAGUAGU
rnacentral:rRNA from 1 species